UUUGCCAUGGACUGCACUCUUCCCUGAGCAGGAUGCUCGCUCCCUCUCUCUGGUGAAUUUGGAGAGUGCUCCCGUGGUGAGAGCUGGCCCUCCAGGAGCCUCCACUGUUUAACGGGGGCCUAGAGACGCCAGGAACCACCAAGAGCCAGAGGUUGGCUACCACCGAAUACCUCUGCAGGAAGGAGACUACCCCUCCAUGAGGACCAUUACAGGAGCUCCUGGGUGGUUCCUGCCCCUGCUCCACAUGAGACAUGUAAGAGAUGGAUGACCUUCUUCCUGGCCAGGAGAGCUUCCUCACUGGGGACCUCAACUGUGGUGCUCACACAUCAGCCCUGAGUGACUGGUUGGCUUCUUCAAUUGAACUCCCCUGGUGGUGAUGAAUUCACAGUGCUGGGGGUUGUGCUGGUGGGAUGCUUGGUGCCCAGCCCUCUGUGAAUAACCCACAUGAGAAAGGAAAAGUCAGGGACUGAAUGAGUUGGGUCCUGCGGGCCUCUACCAGACACCUUUCUGUGGGGAAGUUUUACAGAUGUUUCAAAAUUCGUUAGUUGAUAAUUCAUGGCUAACUCCUGCUAUGUUCAUCUCUACUUUUGCUCCCCUCCCCAUGUGUCUACUGUCUGAGAAACUACGCUAGGGAAAAAAGCGUUGGAAAGAAGUGCCUUCAUCAGGUAAAAUUGGUGCACAGGUAGUUCUUGAAGGGGAAGGUUGCUCAGAUGACUUCUACAAUCAUUGGUGUGGACAUCUUUACCAACUCCAGUGCUACUUAGUUGCCUGAAAGGGAAUGCUCACUGAGAAGGACUUUGUCUGUUAAGUAAUACUUAGAAAGACAAGCACCUAUUUUAGGAGAAUACUUAGGCUGGAUGGAGACUUGUUCUGGUAGUUCUGAGCUCUGUCAUAGGCAUGGGGCCAAAAGCCUUCUCAGGACCUAUAAUGUUGUCCUACCAGUUGUGCUUGCCAUGGCACCUAUGGCCAGGCUAAGGUAGCAUUUAGCACUGCUUUUAACACCUUGCUGCCAUCAGCCUGCUUUUAUUUGAGUGACCAAUUAUACUGUCAGUGGCUAUUAGCUGUAGCACUGCACGAAGAAUGGGCCCAGGUAAUCAGGUACGCCUCUACUCAGCUCAACUUGCCCCAAAAGGCAGAUUUGAGAGUAUCUUUGCACUAGGACAGCCAGGAUUUAGUCUGCAAGCUCUCACUGCAUCCUCCAUCAGUUUGAGGGGUCUCAAGCCUGCCCCAUCCUUAGAAGCUGCCAGUGUCUCCAUAGCUCACUUCUUUCACCACCCCAUCUCUCAAAUGUCCUUACGACCCAGGAUGCAGCAGAGCUUGGUGGGGUCUGCACCAGGAAUUUGGCUCCCCCCAUGGAGGGGAACCCAACUGAUUUUAUGAGGCAGUUUUCUGACCUCACUGCAAUGGUAAUCUUUUAUUUUCAGUACUGAAAUUUGUUUUGAAUCUAAAAUUCAAGCCAGAGCAUGAUGAGCACACACACAGAGGAUAUCAAUUGAAAAAGAAGCCACUGAGCAAUAGUAAACAGAUCUGCCCAUGUUACCCAUCUCUCUGGUUUUAUCAUCUGGAGAGCAAACAGUAAAAAUAAAAUAAAAUAAAAUAAAAUAAAAUAAAAUAAAAUAAAAUAAAAUGCUGUCUGCAUUGAAACAUCUCCCCAAAACUUGACAUCCCUGAAAGAUUUUCAAUUACAUUUUUCUGGGGGAGGGGAAAAGUGACUCUUUAGGCAAUACACCCUUGUUUGUUUUUCAUCAAGAUAAAGUUUUGGUUGAUACAAAGGGGCUAAACUAACAGUCUUGGGUUAAAAAAUAAAAUAAAAUAGGGGAGGAAUAUCUAAAACACUAAGGUUCAAACCCAACUCACCUUUUGGCAAUUCUAGCAGAGUUAUGUUGUUUUGGAAACACUGUCAAAAUGAAAGUGGUCUCAAAGUUUGCUAUAGAAAAAUGGCUGCCAUUUUAGUGGGUCUAGCAAAAAAUCCUCAAUAGUUUAUAGAGAGAGGAACAGACAGCCAGUCCCUGGAGAUGUACAGGGCUCCAAUUUGGCAAGACUCACCAGGUAAUCCUUUUUCAGCAGAGGCUUGCAGGCAAACUAUCAAGCCAAUCCAGGAAUAAUAAAAACAUUAAUUACAGGCUUUCUCUCACUACAGAAAACAUGCAUUUUAAUGCCUCUUCAGGGGAUUUAUCAUACAUGAGAAUAAGGUUUAUUUUUUACCACUCUUCCUCUUUUACUCAUGAAAUCCUGGAGUUUCCCAAAUAUGAUGCUCCACUCUGAAAGACUAAGUCCUGAGCUGGUAGAAAACAGGACAGCACAGCUGAUUCCCUCUGCAGCUAUACCGAUUUACACCAGCUGAGGAUCAGCUCCAUUACAUUACCUAGGCAUGGAGUUGUUGGAGCUGCUCUAAUUCUUUAUUCUCGUUUGAUUUCAGUCUCAAAAAUUAAACUGUCUUACAAAGUGAAUGUUUACAAUUGAGUCCAAACCUAUUACACUGAAACUGUUUGAUUAUAAGCAGGUUAGAUCAGCUUUCCUGUGAUAACAGCUCCUGAUAUUGGUGUCUUUCUUGUGCAGGCUUAAAACUUUGCUUGCAAAAUCUCCUUGUAUUCCUUUGAACUCCCUUGGGAGAUUUAAAAAGAGAAAAAAAAAAAAAAAAACACUCCAGUUAACACUCCCUCAUUUCAUUUUUAAAGGUCAUGCUCAGAGCUGGCAGUUGUUAUAGGAGCUGUCCUCUGUAAAGAAAAGUCUUAACUAGCCAGGCACAGACUUAACCUCCCCAUCGAAAAACUAACAUUGUCACUAGGAUAUGGAGAAACCAUGGUGAAGAACUAGCAACAGCUAGACCACGGCAGAAUGAGCAGUCGGCAUCUGCUCGGUGGGCCUUUAUCAUGCAGUGUUGUAUGUACGAUUCAAAAUGCACAGGACGAUUGUUGAAAUGAUGUAGACAAAUUGACUCAAAUUAGUUUAGCAUGGGCCAUGCAAAGUUUAAGCUUGUUGAGCCCAGACACAUAGCAACAGCCACCGCACUUGGGGCGACCGUGCGAUAGAAGCGCUCGCAGAGAAGCACGACGCCAGCCCACGUUCACGGGCUUUGCUUUUGUGCCUGCUUGCUCCUUUUCUUUUCAUUCCGCCCAGCUCUAGAAAGUCUUGGCAGAAGCGGUCCCUGCUGAAGACUACACUGGCACUGAUAAUUUUAUAGAAGUACUUGUGAGCUUUAAUGUCAUUUUAUACUUCCUUAAUCUUUUGACUGUUACUUAAUGACAAACAAAUCCCCAAAGAACUGAGGG